CCUUCAUCAAAGUUCUAAUAACAUAUACACAUAGUCUGAUUAAUUAUCAAAAUAAGAAAAAUUAACUUUUUUACGUAUUUACAAUGUCAUGAAACUCAACAACUAUCUUUGGUGAAAAUAAACGAGAAUGUUUCAAUUUAAUAACUGGUUUGCUGUUUGUGUGUGAUGAACCACUUCUAUCGACAUAGGUUGAUUUUUUUGGGGGUCAACUUGGAUGAAGUACUCUCUUCAAGAUACUAAUAAACAAUCCACAAACAAUGAUAUUCUCACAAUCAUGCUUUAUAGUUGGAAUGAGGUUCUUUUGAUGCAAUUUAGAUUUUAGGUAUUGCCAAAGGUAAAAUCUUUAAUUUAUGCCACUUUCAUUACAGGUGUCCAUGGCACACUCUUAUGAAAGCCAUCUGGAUUAUCCAGUUGAGUUUUGGCUUAAGAUUGAUGGUGAUCCACAGACGAGGAUGGGACUCCUCAACCUCGUUCGUUGGCUAGCAAUCUCCAUGCACUUGGCCCCAAACAGGCACGCACCCACCGCGACACUUUAUUCAAAUACUUCCUCCCUUAUGAAUCACCUAUGUCUCACCAAUGUUGCCAAUGCUGAUUCUACUAUGGUCAAACUACUGCUUCUGUUUGUUGCAUACCACUGUAUAUGUCACUGUCUACCACUCAAACACCAAUAAAGAAUGUAAAAAAAAAAAAAAAGAUUGGUGGUGAUGCCAUUUUCAUGAUAAUAAGGUUUGGGCAUUGGUACCAUCUCAUGCUGGCUGCUCUGAUUUAGCAUUUUCCUGUUGGUUGCCACAGGAUCACCAAAAUUUGUCAAUGCAAGAGAUGGUCUUAAUCUGUUGUACUGGGGUUCUUAGUUACCUUCUGAAAUAUCGAGCUAACUUUCUCUUAGAGUGAUGUUAGUUGAACAACUACAUUCUUAAAGUUUAUAUAGUAUUGGUGGAACCUAAUGUCUGUGGAAAUGGUUUUAUAAUUCUCUCCAGCAUUAUGAACUUUGACAACUUUUUGUUUAUCUCACAGAUCUGGACAUGACUUGCUUCAUUGCCUAUCUCACACAAUCUCAGAGAUCUGGACUGUGACUGGACAUGACUUGCUUCAUUGCCUAUCUCACCAAAUCUCACAGAUCUGGACAUGACUUGCUUCAUUGCCUAUCUCACCAAAUCUCACAGAUCUGGACAUGACUUGCUUCAUUGCCUAUCUCACCAAAUCUCACAGAUCUGGACAUGACUUGCUUCAUUG